UACCCUGGUAGCUCACGCUGUAAACGAUGAUCACUCGUUGUCGGCUACAAGGUAGUCAGUGACUAAGGGAAACCAUUAAGUGAUCCACCUGGGGAGUACGUCGGCAACGAUGAAACUCAAAGGAAUUGACGGGGGCCCGCACAAGCGGAGGAACAUGUGGUUUAAUUCGAUGAUACGCGAGGAACCUUACCUGGGCUUAAAUGCAGGCUGCAUUCAUGUGAAAGCGUGAUUUCCUACGGGACUGCCUGCAAGGUGCUGCAUGGUUGUCGUCAGCUCGUGCCAUGAGGUGUCGGGUUAAGUCCCAUAACGAGCGCAGCCCCUAUCGCUAGUUGCCAGCAUGUAAUGGUGGGGACUCUAGCGAGACUGCCGGUGUAAACCGGAGGAAGCUGGGGAUGACGUCAAAUCAGCACGGCCCUUACGUCCAGGGCUACACACGUGUUACAAUGGCCGGUACAAAGAGCAGCGACCUGGCGACAGGGUGCUAAUCUUUAAAGCCGGUCUCAGUUCGGAUCGAAGUCUGCAAUUCGACUUCGUGAAGGUGGAUUCGCUAGUAAUCGCGCAUCAGCCAUGGCGCGCUGAAUAAGUUCCCGGGCAUUGUACACACCGCCCGUCAAGCCAUGGAAGCCGGGGGUACCUGAAGUCCGUAACCGA
rnacentral:rRNA from 1 species